GUGUGUUUCAGUUGAAUGAAAGAGCCUACUGUGUGUGUGAACUGUCUUAUUCGGUACUUUCAAUACAAAAUCAAGAUUCCUCUUUUGGCAGAUCAGCGACUGGCCACUCUGUUUCAAAGAUCGUCAACGUUCGGCUCGUCGGGCUAGACUCACCAUCUUGGUUCACCCAGACUUCCCCUAGAAAAAAAUACCAAUCUGCUAAAUGAGAACAAACCUGUUUGUGUGUUUGGUUUUGGUUAAUUUCAUCCAAAUUCUCCAGGGAUGACGCAGCAGUACUGCUCUGCAUGCAGGACAAAACUUCGCCACAGCGGAUCAUUUGGUCCUCAUGUUUCGAUUUGGCACAGGUUUUACGCCAGAUGCCCUUCCUGACACAACCCUCACUUUUAAUCCGGGCUUGGGAGAGUUAACUCAUCAGUGGUUGGGUUAGCUCCCUGCCUGGAAAUCGAACCCGGGCCGAGGCAAUGAAAGCGCGGUAUCCUGCCACUGGAUCACCAGGAGGCUGAAAUGAAAAUUACAAAGUUUUACAUUUUAAUCAGUUUAAUAUUUUAACUAGCUAGAUGAAGACAUUUAUUGCACUGGAAACUGUUCUCAUCUACUUUUAAAAACUAUAGCC